AUACGGAGGGUGCAAGCGUUAUCCGGAAUCACUGGGUUUAAAGGGUGCGUAGGCGGCUAAAUAAGUCAGAGGAGAAAUCUUCCUGCUUAACGGGAAAAUUGCCUUUGAAACUGUAUAGCUUGAAUUAAGUUGAGGUUAGCGGAAUGUGACAUGUAGCGGUGAAAUGCAUAGAUAUGUCAUAGAACACCAAAUGCGAAGGCAGCUGGCUAGGCUUAUAUUGACGCUGAGGCACGAAAGCGUGGGGAGCGAACAGGAUUAGAAACCCUAGUAGUCC
rnacentral:rRNA from 1 species